UUAAGCGACUAAGCGUACACGGUGGAUGCCCUGGCAGUCAGAGGCGAUGAAGGGCGUGCUAAUCUGCGAUAAGCGCCGGUAAGGUGAUAUGAACCGUUAUAACCGGCGAUACCCGAAUGGGGAAACCCAGUGUGAUUCGUCACACUAUCAUUAACUGAAUCCAUAGGUUAAUGAGGCGAACCGGGGGAACUGAAACAUCUAAGUACCCCGAGGAAAAGAAAUCAACCGAGAUUCCCCCAGUAGCGGCGAGCGAACGGGGAGGAGCCCAGAGCCUGAAUCAGCAUGUGUGUUAGUGGAAGCGUCUGGAAAGGCGCGCGAUACAGGGUGACAGCCCCGUACACAAAAGCGCAUGUGCUGUGAGCUCGAUGAGUAGGGCGGGACACGUGGUAUCCUGUCUGAAUAUGGGGGGACCAUCCUCCAAGGCUAAAUACUCCUGACUGACCGAUAGUGAACCAGUACCGUGAGGGAAAGGCGAAAAGAACCCCGGCGAGGGGAGUGAAAAAGAACCUGAAACCGUGUACGUACAAGCAGUGGGAGCACAGGUUUACCUGUGUGACUGCGUACCUUUUGUAUAAUGGGUCAGCGACUUAUAUUCUGUAGCAAGGUUAACCGCAUAGGGGAGCCGGAGGGAAACCGAGUCUUAACCGGGCGUUAAGUUGCAGGGUAUAGACCCGAAACCCGGUGAUCUAGCCAUGGGCAGGUUGAAGGUUGGGUAACACUAACUGGAGGACCGAACCGACUAAUGUUGAAAAAUUAGCGGAUGACCUGUGGCUGGGGGUGAAAGGCCAAUCAAACCGGGAGAUAGCUGGUUCUCCCCGAAAGCUAUUUAGGUAGCGCCUCGUGAAUUCAUCUCCGGGGGUAGAGCACUGUUUCGGCUAGGGGGCCAUCCCGGCUUACCAACCCGAUGCAAACUGCGAAUACCGGAGAAUGUUAUCACGGGAGACACACGGCGGGUGCUAACGUCCGUCGUGAAGAGGGAAACAACCCAGACCGCCAGCUAAGGUCCCAAAGUCAUGGUUAAGUGGGAAACGAUGUGGGAAGGCCCAGACAGCCAGGAUGUUGGCUUAGAAGCAGCCAUCAUUUAAAGAAAGCGUAAUAGCUCACUGGUCGAGUCGGCCUGCGCGGAAGAUGUAACGGGGCUAAACCAUGCACCGAAGCUGCGGCAGCGACGCUUAUGCGUUGUUGGGUAGGGGAGCGUUCUGUAAGCCUGCGAAGGUGGCCUGUGAGGGUUGCUGGAGGUAUCAGAAGUGCGAAUGCUGACAUAAGUAACGAUAAAGCGGGUGAAAAGCCCGCUCGCCGGAAGACCAAGGGUUCCUGUCCAACGUUAAUCGGGGCAGGGUGAGUCGACCCCUAAGGCGAGGCCGAAAGGCGUAGUCGAUGGGAAACGGGUUAAUAUUCCCGUACUUGGUGUUACUGCGAAGGGGGGACGGAGAAGGCUAUGUUGGCCGGGCGACGGUUGUCCCGGUUUAAGCGUGUAGGUGUGUGUUCCAGGUAAAUCCGGUUCACUUUAACACUGAGGCGUGACGACGAGGCACUACGGUGCUGAAGCAACAAAUGCCCUGCUUCCAGGAAAAGCCUCUAAGCAUCAGGUAACAUCAAAUCGUACCCCAAACCGACACAGGUGGUCAGGUAGAGAAUACCAAGGCGCUUGAGAGAACUCGGGUGAAGGAACUAGGCAAAAUGGUGCCGUAACUUCGGGAGAAGGCACGCUGACACGUAGGUGAAGUGAUUUACUCACGGAGCUGAAGUCAGUCGAAGAUACCAGCUGGCUGCAACUGUUUAUUAAAAACACAGCACUGUGCAAACACGAAAGUGGACGUAUACGGUGUGACGCCUGCCCGGUGCCGGAAGGUUAAUUGAUGGGGUCAGCGCAAGCGAAGCUCCUGAUCGAAGCCCCGGUAAACGGCGGCCGUAACUAUAACGGUCCUAAGGUAGCGAAAUUCCUUGUCGGGUAAGUUCCGACCUGCACGAAUGGCGUAAUGAUGGCCAGGCUGUCUCCACCCGAGACUCAGUGAAAUUGAACUCGCUGUGAAGAUGCAGUGUACCCGCGGCAAGACGGAAAGACCCCGUGAACCUUUACUAUAGCUUGACACUGAACAUUGAGCCUUGAUGUGUAGGAUAGGUGGGAGGCUUUGAAGUGUGGACGCCAGUCUGCAUGGAGCCGACCUUGAAAUACCACCCUUUAAUGUUUGAUGUUCUAACGUGGACCCGUAAUCCGGGUUGCGGACAGUGUCUGGUGGGUAGUUUGACUGGGGCGGUCUCCUCCUAAAGAGUAACGGAGGAGCACGAAGGUUGGCUAAUCCUGGUCGGACAUCAGGAGGUUAGUGCAAUGGCAUAAGCCAGCUUGACUGCGAGCGUGACGGCGCGAGCAGGUGCGAAAGCAGGUCAUAGUGAUCCGGUGGUUCUGAAUGGAAGGGCCAUCGCUCAACGGAUAAAAGGUACUCCGGGGAUAACAGGCUGAUACCGCCCAAGAGUUCAUAUCGACGGCGGUGUUUGGCACCUCGAUGUCGGCUCAUCACAUCCUGGGGCUGAAGUAGGUCCCAAGGGUAUGGCUGUUCGCCAUUUAAAGUGGUACGCGAGCUGGGUUUAGAACGUCGUGAGACAGUUCGGUCCCUAUCUGCCGUGGGCGCUGGAGAACUGAGGGGGGCUGCUCCUAGUACGAGAGGACCGGAGUGGACGCAUCACUGGUGUUCGGGUUGUCAUGCCAAUGGCACUGCCCGGUAGCUAAAUGCGGAAGAGAUAAGUGCUGAAAGCAUCUAAGCACGAAACUUGCCCCGAGAUGAGUUCUCCCUGAGACUUAGAGUCUCCUGAAGGAACGUUGAAGACGACGACGUUGAUAGGCCGGGUGUGUAAGCGCAGCGAUGCGUUGAGCUAACCGGUACUAAUGAACCGUGAGGCUUAACCUU
rnacentral:rRNA from 1 species